ensembl:snRNA U6 U6 spliceosomal RNA
GUGCUCCCUUCGGCAGCACGUAUACUAAAAUUGGAACGAUACAGAGAAGAUUAGCAUGGCCCCUGUGCAAGGAUGACAUGCAAAUUCGUGAAGCAUCCCAUAUUUUU